UCUCCUCAGCUGCACUAUAACAAUAAACAUGCUCUUAUAAGAUCAAAUGAUACGCCUUGGUAUAUUUUUUACAUUUUAUAUAGGUUGCUCUAACUCAUCAGGGAUGUACAUGUUUAAGGGAAUUCAAUUUCGGAUAUUUUAAGGCAAAAAGUAUUUUUAGACGAAUUUCCAACAAAACUAAGUUGUGACCUACGAUGAACUAUGCACUACUUUGAGAAACAUACAAAUAGGAAGAUCAAAAAACGAAUGUAUUCAUUCUUCAAAAGAGUAUGGAAGGCCAUGAAGCGUCCCUUUCUCUGCAGAUGGAACAAAGUGGAGUCUAUUGUGUCUGAGCCGGCCGAUCCUGAGGCAUCAGCUCUCAUCCCUCAUCUUUCAUCAGGUUUGAGUCUGCCUCUCUCACCUCUAUACCUGACAAUCUGUCCAAAACAUCUUCAUCCCUCUCUGAGGACAAUAUAGAUGAGAGAGAAGGUGGCUGCAGCAUGUGGGCCAAUAGGAGACCCAGCCUGCAUACUUUUAAUAUUACGAAACAGGAUAUGUGGGGCCAAGACGGCAUUUCCAACAUCCCAGAGUAUAUGUACACUUUGCCACUUUGCCCUAAGUGCUCAGGGUGCCACAGAUGCUUCUCCUAUGGAGAACAGCACAACAGUUUAGAGAAACAUAAAAAUAACGAGGAGAGAAAAGGCUUCUUCACCAGACUAUGGAUGGCUUACUUACUGCUGUGCUGCACACAGCUAC